rnacentral:lncRNA from 1 species
GACUCCCGACAGUGGACCCGCACGGUGAUCCGGAACAUCGCGGCGGCCGGGAAAUUCUCCAGCGACCGAACUAUCGCUCAAUACGCCCGCGAGAUCUGGGGCACGGAGCCCACCCGCCACCGCAUCCCCGCCCCCGACGAGCCCCGCCACUGACCGCCCCACAGCGCCCCAUAGCGCCCCAUAGCGCCCUACGGAGCCACGUGUCACCCCAUAGCGCCCCAUGUCUCCCCACAGCGCCUCCUGUCACCCCAUAGCGCCUCAUGUCACCCCAUAGCACCCCAUAGCACCCUACGGCGCCACAUGUCACCCCAUAGCACCCCACGUCUCCCCACAGCGCCUCCUGUCACCCCAUAGCGCCCCAUAGCACCCUACGGCGCCACAUGUCACCCCAUAGCGCCUCAUAGCGCCUCAUAGCGCCCUACAGCACCCCAUGUCACCCCAUAGAGCCUCAUGUCACCCCAUAGCACCCCAUGUCACCCCAUGUCACCCCACAGCACCUCAUGUCACCCCAUAUCACGUCAUGUUGCCCCAUAGCACCCCAUAUCGCCCCCAUAUUGUCUCAUGUCACCCCAUAUCGUCCUAUAUUGCCCCAUGUCACCCCAUAUCACCCCACAUCACCCCAUAUUGUCUCAUGUCACCCCAUAUCACCCCAUAUCGCCUCGUGUCGCCCCGUAUCGCCUCGUGUCACCCCAUAUCGCCCCAUAUUGCGUCACGUCACCCCAUAUCACCUCAUGUCACCCCAUAGCGCCCCACUAUGUGACCCACAGCGACCCACUGCACCCCGUAGCGCCUCGUGUUGCCCCACAUCUCCCCACAACAAUGAGCCAGUGCACCCCAUAUCGCCCCACAGCGCCCCAUAUCGCCCUAUACCGCCCUAUAUCGCCCCAUAGCACCCCAUAUCGCCCCAUAGCACCCCACAGCUGACAAAAACCCCACAGCAGCGGCGC